UGUAUUAACACAUUCUUCAUUUAUAUGAUAGAUGUUUUAUUGUGCUUAUGGCUUCACUAUUGAAAGUUUAUUUUCAUGCUUUCACCUGACUUACUCCAACACCUUCUUGCAUCAAGGUGACUCUCACAUUGCCCUACCAUCAGAGUCAUAAAGCCAAAUGGACAACACCAUCGUAUUUGCAAGGCUCAAGAAACAAGAAAAAUAUCUUUCCUUUCAUCAAUUUUGGCGAAUAUUCAUCAUCACAGCCUAGUUUUUGGCUCUAAUCAGGUGCCAUCAAACGCCCCUUAUUCUCUGCUCUUAGUUCCAGCGGCCUUCAGAAAGGCUCCCACAUCUUCUGCGCAGCCUCUUCAUUUUCCACGCCCUCCAUACAAUAACCUUGGGUCUGUAUUGUCACUAUCUAAGGAGAUCCACGUGAAUUAUAUCUCAUGCUCAUCCGUCUCUUCUGGCAGCGUAGAUUUAAAUUCUAGUUUGUUAAUUAUUGUGUUUAUUUAACACAGUUUCAAAAGAAGUUUUUGAAGGAUACACAAAUCCCAAACAGUAUCAAUUUUAUUUUCGUGGAAUCUACAAAUCUCUGAAUGAACAACGCCGAGGGUCUCAUCUUCAAAAUCAACAUCUCUUCUUCAAACAACUUCCACACUCAGUCCCUAUCAUUUUGCAGGUCAACCGCCACGCAAUGGAGUAUCCUCUACCAAGGUGCCACAUCACCUCGUUAUCUGCAGUAAAAAAUGAUAACUCUCAAAGCAACCUUGGCGCCUCUAUAUCAACCAUUUUACACGUUGCAAGCAACAUAGAUUUGACAUCUAACAGGCAUUUUGGGGUCUCUUUGGCUUCCACUUAUCUGUCACUUUGUUGGUUCUCUCCCUGACUUGUACAGCAACAUUUUUUUUUUAAUGAUGUUUGGCAUUUGUUGUUUGUUACAGUUAUAAUGCCCAAGCAAUUAUAAAUUUAUAACUAAUAGCAAUAGAUGUACAUGCUAAGAGGUUAGUUAACCACUCAAACCUCUACCGGUCAGAGACAACCUUUAUGUCAAAGUCGAUUACUCGUCUCAGUCAAAGCGUCCAUAAAAGAGGGGAUUUUAUCCUUUUCAUUAUAGCUUGUAAAAGGGUUUUGCCAUAACUUGCAAACGAAUGGGCAAGUUGACAGAAACCUCAUUCAGUCCCGAUUUCAACGAAUGGUUGCACAUGCAGUUGUAGUUAAAAUAGGUUAAUUUUAUGAUAAAUUAUUUUCUAUAA